CCAACCGAGGCGAGCGCCCGGGGCGCCGCGGGCCGAAGCCGCUUUCUCCACCCCGGCGCUGCCGCCGCCCUGCUUCGGGCGGAGUAAACAAGAGACGCGCAAGAUUUGACCUGGCGCGACCCGGCUUUCUGGCCGGGGUUCCCCCUGAGCAGGCAGGUAUUUCACCAACAACUGCGGAAUGUUUCGCGUCUCGAGUUUCAGAUUUCGCGGAAAGGGACCGACUGACAAGACAUGUAAAAUCUUCCCUUCCCUUUUCAUUAAAAAUGAAUAUAUUAAAAGGGAGGGCAGCCCCUUUAAUGACUGCGAGAAAGCGCUGCUGGUUUCAUUUUUGUUUUUCGUUUUGACCUAUAAUCAGUGUAUUUUGGCGGUCCCCGUGCAAUGGCGACACCGUCAUGAAGGGCGUCUCUGCAGAAUUAAGCGGUGAUACAUUUUUUUUUUAAUCGACAUUUUUUGAAAAGGAGAAAAAUCUAAACAGUUUGGAAUAAGUUUCACUAACCUCUUCUUCUAGGUUGAUCUAUUUUAAAUUCAAGGCCUACUUCCACUUAAGCAGCUUCUGCUUUCAUUGUAUACAGGUUCUUUAAUAUUCAUCCUUUUUUUGACUUAACUUGAGCCACUUAAUACAAACUCCCCAAUCGUCAUUUUCUCUUAAAUUGAUGCAGUUGCAUUUUUAAACCACACAUUUAAAACGCAAAAUGUGAUUUUUCCAAAUGUUUUUUUUCUCUUUGAAACCCACCUGCUACAUACUCCGAGAGCCCAUUUUGUUUAAUUGCUUAAUAGAGAAGAUGAAGCAGUUUUGUUUUUUUUUUAAGAGUCCAGUUUCCCUUCAACACACACAACAACAGCUGCUCAAACUCCCAGAGAGAGGAAGGAAAGCAGUAGGCAGUGUUUUGCUUCCCUGGAAUAAAUGUUAGUUGAAAUCUUAAAUCCCUCUUUAAAAGACUAGAUGAAGUGGGUAUAAUGUCAAUGUUAAGAUACUCAGGUAAUUGGACAGUUAAAAUUAUUUUCUUUUUUUGAUCUGCAAAUACAAAAAAAAAAAAACACAUCAAUUUUGGCCUUGAAGUUCUAACAUAAGAUUUCUAACUGUCCCCCAAGAUUAUCUGAUCCCAUCACCAGAGAGGGCCCUUGAAGACAAGCAUGAGUCAAACUUUGACACUUUUUACAUUGUUACUUGUUUCAAAAUUACAAAGAUCCAAAGGAAACACCAGAAUUGGGUUGAAACAGAAUAAAAAUUUUGUAGGUAUGUAUAAACUAGGAGACAUCCCCCCACUGGGAAGAAUUACUAUCUUUAAGUAAAUACAUUCCAGCCACCAGCUUCUAAUGCUGCCUGUUUGCAUGCAAUUGCUCAUGUGAGCGGCCACUACAGCUCCAGAGCAAACCAACACCUACCAUUCCAGAGCAUGGCCUACAUGGGGUUCCUGACCGAAAGCAGUAUUUGUUUCUGUGUAUCUUCCUAGAGUCAGUCCUACUGGCCUAAGUGCUUUGGAGCCUCUCAAAAGAGCCUGAGGCCUCCUUCCCUCCGAGUGAAUUUCCCUUGAAAUCCAUAUCUUAUAUCUAUAUCCAAUUGUGCCACCCAAAGUUGUGAAUAUCUGUCCAUUUCCUUACCUGUGAGCACAGUGUAGUAACAGAAAAACUCCUCUGCCUAGAAAACUUGAGAAACCACAAUUGGCAUUGGUGAGAAACUGCAAUCACCCCUAACAUGCUCUAUGAGAAGUGAGGGUGGGUGGGGCACAGUUGAUCUAAUUAAACACUUCUCAGUUUUAAAGGGAAGGAAAGUUUGGUAAUCUGCCUUAUAAGGCCUUAAGAAAGCAAAAGAAUUAAUGUCUGUAUGGCAUUUUAUACCAGAAUCACUUUCUUUCAAAAACUAUUGAGUGCCUACUAUGUACUGAAAGUCCCUAGGUGGUGCAAAUGGCUUGCUCGCAUCUGCUAACCUAAAUGUUGGAGUUCAAACCCACCCAGUGGAACCUAGGAAAAAAGGCCUGGCGAUCUGCUUCUAUGAAGAGUACAGCCAAGAAAGCCCCAAGAAGCAGUUCUACUCUCUAACACACAGGUCUCCAUGAGUUGGACUCUGCUCAACAGCAAUGAGCAUUUUGUUUAUUUGUUGUUUUUGUUUGUUUGUUUUUACAUUGGAGCAGUUCUACUCUGACCUAUAAUGUCACCAGGAGUUGGAAUCGAUUCCAUGACAAUGGGUUUGGUUUGGGGGAGGGAAGGUUGCUAUGAGUUGGAAUCAACUCGAUGGCAACAGGUUCAACAGGUUUUGGAAGGUAUUCAGAAUACACCAGUGAACAAAUCCGAGAUUCCUGCGCUUUCUCGGGAAGCUUGUAUUCUAGUGGCAGGGGGUAAAGGAAGAACAAAAUGGACAGUCAACAAAAAAUAUACUGAACUUUGGAAAAUACGAGGUAUUACAAAAACCCAAACCAAACCCAUUGCUGUUGAGUCAAUUCCAACUCAUAGCAACCCUAUGGGACAGAGUAGAACUGCCUCAUAGGGUUUCCUAGGAGUGGCUAGUGGACUGAAACUGCUAACCUUUUGGUUAGCCGACGAGUUCUUAAUCGCUGCACCACUAGGGCUCCACAGUGUAUUAUAGAUGGGGAAAAAAAUAAAGCAGAGGAAGGUAUAUGGAAGGAGGGGUAUGUGUAUUGCUGUAUUAAGUAGGGAGGUCAGAGUAAGUCUUGUUGAGAAGGUAAGAUUUUUGCCAAAACUAGAAAGAAAGGAUUUAGCUGUAGAAAUAUUGGGGGAAGAGGGGAAGGAAAGCUUUUCAGGCAGAGAGAACAACUGAGAUUGGAGUAAUCUUUGCUUCAAGACCAGAACAGGCCUGGCGUGUUUGUAGAACCUCAAGGAGAACAGUGUGGCUGGUACAGAGGGAGAGUAAGACAGCCUGUGUGGAUGGAGCAGCCUCCCUGGCCACAAUAACAACUUUUCUUACCCAGAGAAAUCGCAAUAAAGGAACAGAUUUGGGGCCUUCGCCACCUAGUUCCAAUGAAUCCAAAUCUUUGUGGGCCCGAGAAUCUGCGUUUUAAACAGAAAAUGUAGUUAAUUCUUAAGCAUUCUAAAGCUUGAGACCUACUACCACAGAGUAUGGAGCUGGAUAUACCCAGGCAGGAGAACUGGGUACCAGGAGACAUUGUAUAUAAAGCUUCGUGGUGGUGGUUAGAACCAGGCACAUCCCUAUUACUAAUCAGACCCUAUAGGACUCUUCCAGUGCAAGUUAAAAAACCAGCUCAAACUAACUUAACAAAAAAGGGGGAAUUCAUUGCCUUAUAUAAAUAGAAAUCAAAGUCUAAUUUCCAGCUGAAUGAAAUUCUGGGGCUCGAAUGAUAUGACCUGGUUCUUUCUCUAUCUCUCAGCUGUACUUACCUCUUUAUCUUUGCUCCUCAGAGGGAUACUGUAGGGUGGUGGCCACAGUCCCAGGGUAUCAUUUUCCCACUUAGCAACCCCAGUGAGAAAAGACCUUCUUCCCAGAUAGCUCGGGCAGCCUUAGUCAUGU